rnacentral:SRP_RNA from 1 species
GCUGGGUGUGGUGGCUGGCGCCUGUAAUCCCAGCUACUCCGGAGGCUGAGGCAGGAGAAUCACUUGAACCCAGGAGGCUGAGGCUGCAGUGAGCAGAGAUUGCGCCACUGUGCUCCAGCCUGGGUGACAGAGUGAGACUCUGUCUCAU